rnacentral:ncRNA from 1 species
UAAAAACUGCCAACGGGUAGUGAAUGCGUAAAGCAUUUGUUUGUACAUCGUUAGGUCUUUGAAGAUGUGAAUUCAAAUGCUUUUUCUUU